rnacentral:rRNA from 1 species
GAUGAACGCUGGCGGCGUGCCUAAUACAUGCAAGUAGAACGCUGAAGGAGGAGCUUGCUCUUCUGGAUGAGUUGCGAACGGGUGAGUAACGCGUAGGUAACCUGCCUGGUAGCGGGGGUAACUAUUGGAAACGAUAGCUAAUACCGCAUGACAACAGUUAUUGCAUGAUAACUGUUUAAAAGGGGCAACUGCUCCACUACCAGAUGGACCUGCGUUGUAUUAGCUAGUUGGUGAGGUAACGGCUCACCAAGGCGACGAUACAUAGCCGACCUGAGAGGGUGAUCGGCCACACUGGGACUGAGACACGGCCCAGACUCCUACGGGAGGCAGCAGUAGGGAAUCUUCGGCAAUGGACGGAAGUCUGACCGAGCAACGCCGCGUGAGUGAAGAAGGUUUUCGGAUCGUAAAGCUCUGUUGUAAGAGAAGAACGAGUGUGAGAGUGGAAAGUUCACACUGUGACGGUAUCUUACCAGAAAGGGACGGCUAACUACGUG